GACGAACGCUGGCGGCGUGCUUAACACAUGCAAGUCGAACGGAAAGGCCCUGCUUUUGUGGGGUGCUCGAGUGGCGAACGGGUGAGUAACACGUGAGUAACCUGCCCUUGACUUUGGGAUAACUUCAGGAAACUGGGGCUAAUACCGGAUAGGAGCUCCUGCUGCAUGGUGGGGGUUGGAAAGUUUCGGCGGUUGGGGAUGGACUCGCGGCUUAUCAGCUUGUUGGUGGGGUAGUGGCUUACCAAGGCUUUGACGGGUAGCCGGCCUGAGAGGGUGACCGGCCACAUUGGUACUGAGAUACGACCCAGACUCCUACGGGAGGCAGCAGUGGAGAGUAUUACACAAUGGGCGGAAGCCUGAUGCAGCAACGCCGCGUGCGGGAUGACGGCCUUCGGGUUGUAAACCGCUUACGCCUGUGACGAAGCGUGAGUGACGGGAAUUGGUAAAGAAGCACCGGCUAACUACGUG
rnacentral:rRNA from 1 species